rnacentral:lncRNA from 1 species
UCGAUUUUAUGUGACAUCUUUCUGAACCUCCCUGGCUGUCCGAGCUUCCAUAAUACCAUCCGGACUCCUCCAACGGUCGGCCUUCCACAGUGUUCUCCAGAUUCCUUCAGCGGACGAACCUCUAUCGUGCUAUCCGGACUUCUCCAAUAAUGAGCUCCUCCAUUCAUGUACCGGACUGCUCCAAAUACUCUCUGGACUUCGCUUUCAGUCGAUUCUCUACAGUGAUCGACUACUCUUCGAAUCUCUUCCAGACUUCUUCCAGCC